UACGAAGGGGGCUAGCGUUGCUCGGAAUUACUGGGCGUAAAGGGCGCGUAGGCGGCACUGUUAGUCAGGCGUGAAAGUCCUGGGCUCAACCUGGGAACUGCGCUUGAUACGGCAGAGCUAGAGGAUGGAAGAGGCUCGCGGAAUUCCCAGUGUAGAGGUGAGAUUCGUAGAUAUUGGGAAGAACACCGGUGGCGAAGGCGGCGAGCUGGUCCAUUACUGACGCUGAGGCGCGACAGCGUGGGGAGCAAACAGG
rnacentral:rRNA from 1 species